rnacentral:rRNA from 1 species
UACAGAGGGUGCGAGCGUUGUCCGGAAUCACUGGGCGUAAAGGGCGCGUAGGCGGUCUGCUAAGCGUGUGGUGAAAGCCCGGGGCUCAACCCCGGGUCGGCCGUGCGAACUGGCGGACUGGAGCUUGUCAGAGGCAGGCGGAACUCCGGGUGUAGCGGUGGAAUGCGUAGAGAUCCGGAAGAACACCGGUGGCGAAGGCGGCCUGCUGGGACAGUGCUGACGCUGAGGCGCGACAGCGUGGGGGAGCAAACAGG